UACGUAGGUGGCGAGCGUUGUCCGGAUUUACUGGGCGUAAAGGGAGCGUAGGCGGACUUUUAAGUGAGAUGUGAAAUACUCGGGCUCAACCCGGGGGCUGCAUUUCAAACUGAAAGUCUAGAGUGCAGGAGAGGAGAGUGGAAUUCCUAGUGUAGCGGUGAAAUGCGUAGAGAUUAGGAAGAACACCAGUGGCGAAGGCGGCUCUCUGGACUGUAACUGACGCUGAGGCUCGAAAGCGUGGGUAGCAAACAGG
rnacentral:rRNA from 1 species